rnacentral:rRNA from 1 species
UACGAAGGGGGCUAGCGUUGCUCGGAAUUACUGGGCGUAAAGCGCACGUAGGCGGCUUUCUAAGUCGGGGGUGAAAUCCUGGAGCUCAACUCCAGAACUGCCUUCGAUACUGGAGCUUGAGUCCGGGAGAGGUGAGUGGAACUGCGAGUGUAGAGGUGAAAUUCGUAGAUAUUCGCAAGAACACCAGUGGCGAAGGCGGCUCACUGGCCCGGUACUGACGCUGAGGUGCGAAAGCGUGGGGAGCAAACA